rnacentral:rRNA from 1 species
AACGAACGUUAGCGGCGCGCCUAACACAUGCAAGUCGAGCGAGAAGGAAGCAAUUCCUGUAAAGCGGCGCACGGGUGAGUAACACGUAGGUAAUCUACCUCGAAGUGGUGGAUAACCUUCCGAAAGGAGGGCUAAUACAGCAUGAGACCACGGUUUCGAAAGAGAUUGAGGUCAAAGCGGGCCACUAUACAUAAGCUCGCGCUUCGAGAUGAGCCUGCGGCCCAUCAUGGUAGUUGGUAGGGUAAUGGCCUACCAAGCCGAAGACGGGUAGCUGGUCUGAGAGGAUGAUCAGCCACACUGGAACUGAGACACGGUCCAGACUCCUACGGGAGGCAGCAGUGGGGAAUCUUGCGCAAUGGGCGAAAGCCUGACGCAGCGACGCCGCGUGAGUGAUGAAGGCCUCGGUUGUAAGACUCUGUGGAGGGGGACGGAAGUAAGGGUUAGGGCGUAACG